GCCUUUGUAGCUAAGGGGACAGAGCGCCGGAUGCCGAGUCCGGAGGCCGGAGGUUCGAUUCCUCUCGGGGGCG
rnacentral:tRNA from 1 species